rnacentral:rRNA from 1 species
UACGGGAGGCAGCAGUGGGGAAUAUUGCACAAUGGGCGCAAGCCUGAUGCAGCCAUGCCGCGUGUAUGAAGAAGGCCUUCGGGUUGUAAAGUACUUUCAGUCGUGAGGAAGGUGUUAAGGUUAAUAACCUUAGCAAUUGACGUUAGCGACAGAAGAAGCACCGGCUAACUCCGUGCCAGCAGCCGCGGUAAUACGGAGGGUGCGAGCGUUAAUCGGAAUUACUGGGCGUAAAGGGCACGCAGGCGGUUAAUUAAGUUGGAUGUGAAAUCCCCGGGCUUAACCUGGGAAUGGCAUUCAAGACUGGUUAGCUAGAGUCUUGUAGAGGGGGUAGAAUUCCAUGUGUAGCGGUGAAAUGCGUAGAGAUGUGGAGGAUACCGGUGGCGAAGGCGGCCCCUGGACAAGACUGACGCUCAUGUGCGAAAGCGUGGGGAGCAAAC